rnacentral:lncRNA from 13 species
GUUUCUUUCUACCUGAUUUAUCCAGAAUUUGGAAACUAAUUCAAUCAGAAGAACAGAUGGCCAUCUUCUGUCAGUACUUGAAGACUGUUUCUUAGAAACAUUAAGCCUCCAUCAGGCUCACUUGUUAAUGCAAAAGUCCUACUCAGGACAGAAGCUAGGACAAACUUUGAAGUCAUCAGGUGUACUUCCCACUAUGUGAUGCCUUUCGCCAUGGAUUACCUUUGCCAGAUAUUGGGAGCCAAAACCUAUUUUAUAAGGAUACUAGGAGAAAUGCUCAUUUGUAUAAACACCAUCUAACUACUGCUACUCCUACUGCUGCUGCUGCUGCUGCUGCUGUCCUGAUGAAACUAAGCUUUAUG